GUUUAUAUAAUUUAAAUAAAAUAUUGGUCUUGUAAAUCAAAUAUAAGAAUAUUCUUUGUAAACU
rnacentral:tRNA from 1 species